rnacentral:sRNA from 1 species
GCUGGGUGUGGUGGCACAUGCCUGUAAUCCCAGCAGCUUGGGAGGCUGAGGCAGGAGGAUCAUGAGGUCAAAGCCAGUCUCAGCAAAAGUGAGUUGCUAAGCAAUUGAAUGAGACCCUAUCUCUA